ACUACUAUCAAAAUAUUAAGAAGCUUGAAUCUAAUUGGUAACAUUUUAUGUUUAUAUAUUAUACAUGGAGAAAGUUUGCUCGGAGAUUUCCAGGCCUAUAUGGGAUGUUUUAAGGUCUGACAUAAUUUGACUCGAGUAUUAAAACCAUGCACAAAUCAUCCUGAGCUCAAUAUCUUUUGAAUGUAUAAAUCUUUUUCACCUUUUUCAUCCUCCGAUUGUAAUAUAUAUAUAUAUCACUGACCAGUAUAUUUAUUUUCAAUAAAACGGGCUUGU
rnacentral:misc_RNA from 1 species